rnacentral:rRNA from 1 species
UGACCACGGGGAUAACCCGUUGAAAGACGGCCUAAUACCGUAUGACGUCGUUUGCCGACAUCGAAAAGACGACAAAGGGUUUUGGCGGUGAUGGAUGGGGGAUGCGUCUGAUUAGCUUGUUGGCGGGUAACGGCCCACCAAGGCUACGAUCAGUAGGGGUUCCUGAGAGGAAGGUCCCCCCACAUUGGGAACUGAGACACGGUCCAAACUCCUACGGGAGGGCAGCAGUGAGGAAUAUUGGGUCAAUGGGCGAGAGCCUGAACCAGCCAAGUAGCGUGCAGGAUGACGGCCCUAUGGGUUGUAAACUGCUUUUAUGCGGGGAUAAAGUGCGUGACGUGUCUCGCAUUGCAGGUACCGCGUGAAUAAGGACCGGCUAAUUCCGUGCCAGCAGCCGCGGUAAU